UUAGCCAUGCUAGUUGUGCGGGUUUAGACCCGCAGCGGAAAGCUCAGUAACACGUGGCCAAACUACCCUGUGGAUGGGAACAAUCUCGGGAAACUGAGGCUAAUCCCCAAUAACGCUCCGCCCCUGGAACGGGCGGAGCUGGAAACGCUACGGCGCCACAGGAUGUGGCUGCGGUCGAUUAGGUAGACGGUGGGGUAACGGCCCACCGUGCCAAUAAUCGGUACGGGUUGUGAGAGCAAGAGCCCGGAGACGGAAUCUGAGACAAGAUUCCGGGCCCUACGGGGCGCAGCAGGCGCGAAACCUUUACACUGCACGCCAGUGCGAUAAGGGGACCCCGAGUGCGAGGGCAUAUCGCCCUCGCUUUUCUGAACCGUAGGGAGGUUCAGGAACAAGAGCUGGGCAAGACCGGUGCCAGCCGCCGCGGUAAUACCGGCAGCUCAAGUGAUGACCGAUUUUAUUGGGCCUAAAGCGUCCGUAGCUGGCCGCGCAAGUCUGUCGGGAAAUCCACCCGCUUAACGGGUGGGCGUCCGGCGGAAACUGUGCGGCUUGGGACAGGAAGGCUUGAGGGGUACGUUCGGGGUAGGAGUGAAAUCCCGUAAUCCUGAACGGACCACCGAUGGCGAAAGCACCUCGAGAGGACUGAUCCGACAGUGAGGGACGAAAGCUGGGGUCUCGAACCGGAUUAGAUACCCGGGUAGUCCCAGCCGUAAACGAUGUUCGCUAGGUGUGUCACUCACUACGAGUGAGUGAUGUGCCGCAGGGAAGCCGCUAAGCGAACCGCCUGGGAAGUACGUCCGCAAGGACGAAACUUAAAGGAAUUGGCGGGGGAGCACUACAACCGGAGGAG
rnacentral:rRNA from 1 species